UCUUCCCCAGCGUAAGCUCUCACAUACCCACUCUCUCCGUAUCUCUUCUCUCUCUCUCUACCUCUCUCACACAAUAAUUCCGGCCAGUUGUUGUCAGAUCCCGGCAUACCCUCCCUGUCAGACGUCCCCGCCACUUUUUUUUGGCCUUUAUAUAUACCCCACACCUAGCUCCUUUUCUCUUUACCAUAUACAUUUUAGUCCUGCAAAAGAGAACAUUUCAUCUCUACAUACAUACAUUACGCCCACGUAACAAGCAAUAGUCAGCAGCACAGUACCUUUGCUCGCUCACAAAAGCCUCGUGUGUGUUGGGCAUCAGAUAGUGGAAGUUUGCCUAAUCCGAUUACCAAUUCCACCACCUUUUCUAUUCACCGAGGCGCACUGCGUUCUUUCGCAGAUCAAAAGCUGGUGCUUUUUUCUCUGUUUCUUGAAAGGGUCUUUUGGUUUUGUUCGUGGCGGAGGAGUUGAUGAACAGGGCGUUACCGGAGAUGUCGCACUGUCUAAACGGGCCUGGUAAGUGUACGGACAUGACGGUGCUGGAGAGGCAGAGGGCUCGCGUGAGGUGGCAGCAGAGCUAUUUGGGAGGCAGUGACUUUGGCGGAGUCUUUUUGGAGACAAGUCAGGCGGAUCAAGUUGGGAAUUUUCAAGAUUUGGUGGUGGGCGGCAGCAGCUGCUCGGUGCUUGAUGAUGUGGGGACCCACUCAGUGAAGCCGGACCCGGGCUUGGAAAAUGGGUGGCUUGAGUUGGGCAGGUUGGAGUUGCCCAAUAUGGGGUUUGGGUCUGGUGGAUCGAUGAAUGGGAGUCCUACAGGGUUGGAGAUGAACUCUUCCAUUUCAAAGACUUCUAGCUGCCCGCCCACGGAGGCGCAAUCGGCGCCCGAAGCGAAAGACAAAGUGUCAGUGCCGGCGGAGAAGAUGAGUUCUGCAGCUGGGAGAGACAGCUCCAAGAAGAGAAAGGCUGAUAAGAUGCAGAACACCAAGGUUUUUGCUGAAGACGACGCCAAAUACAAGAGAAGCAAAGCAUGUGCAGAAGAGGGGGAAUCAAAGAUCACCACAGAGCAAGCCAGAAUCAAAAACAACACCAGUACCCCUACGACCAACAAUAGGGAGACUUCUGCUGAUUCGUCAAAGGAGAAUUCAAAAGCUUCCGAGGUUCAAAAGCCCGAUUAUAUUCAUGUCCGGGCACGUCGCGGCCAGGCCACUGACAGCCACAGCUUAGCUGAGAGAGUGAGAAGGGAAAAGAUCAGCGAGAGAAUGAAGUAUCUGCAAGAUUUAGUACCAGGGUGCAACAAAAUCACGGGGAAAGCUGGAAUGCUCGAUGAAAUCAUCAAUUAUGUCCAAUCCCUUCAACGACAAGUAGAGUUUCUGUCCAUGAAACUAGCUGCUGUGAAUCCCAGGCUUGACUUCAACAUUGAUGACCUUUUUGCAAAAGAGACGGUUCCUGCUUGCUCAGCCGAUUUUCCAACAAUUGGAAUGUCAUCCGAAAUGACUAAUCCUGCCUAUCUUCAGUUUAAUCCAGUACAACAAGUGGCGGCAUGUUGUGGGUUCGAGAUGGGGUUGAACUCACCUGACAUGGCACUUCGAAGAACACUCAGCACUCCCGUAUCGCUCCCCGAACCAUAUCUUGAUGCAUCCUGCUUCACACCUUGUUCUGCAGCAACUCCAGCCUCCUCCAACUUGGGAUGCUGAUUUACAAAACCUUUUGAAUCUGGAAUUCCAUCAAGAAAGAUCAAUUUCAUUUCCAUACCAACCAUUUACAGGUUCCAUCGAAGCUAGCAAUUUGAAGAUGGAGAUCUGAAUCGAAAUUUCCAUCAUACAAUUUCUUGAACGAGUUCACUCCACAUGCUCUGAUUCAUAUUCUUUUUUCUUUUCUUUUCUUUUUUUGUUUUCGUUGUUAAAGUACAUCUCGUAUAUAUUUGUAUGUAUACUUGCCUCAUAGUAUGAAUAAGAUCAAUGCCUGUUAGGUUAAAAA